CUCAUGUGUUUAAAGCUGGUAAAUUCUACCUCCUGACGACACGCUCUCAGCAGUUCCAGCAGGUGGGAAAUGGAGGGUUACAAGGGCGGAAAGGAUCAUCAAAAGAGAGGACGGAAGAAGCAGAGCCAAGCUGGAAAAGACUCUGGAUGGCUGGCGAGGAGGAGGAUUAAAGGGCUGUAAGCAGAGGAAAUCCUAUCCAUCAGAAGAGGAUGGAGGCAGAGCCGGGGACUUCUGCUCCUGCUGCCAAGUUAAUAUGGUACGAGAACCAGCUGGGUCGGGUCUGGACACGCUUUUCUGUUCUGCAGCUCACAGAAUUUUUUUGUGACUUCAACUUCAGUGAUCUUUGGUGCCCCUGAAGGCAAGUAGCACACCUGAAUCAUAAAGCUUCAGAUGAGUUGAGUUCAAAGUUUUAUUUUCUCCUUUUAAAGCCCUCAAUAAAUUAGGGCAAAGGUAGUUUGGAAUCCACCCUCCUGCCUUGGCGUUCCUCUGGGAUUAUUAAGGUUGGCUAAGCAAUACGCUCUUGAGAAACCAGGUGUAACGAGACCUGGGCGGAGGGAUCUGGGGGUUGUUUGUGGAACUUUCUCCUCUUCUGUGGCAUAUGCCAGAGUCUUUCCGGAGCGAUCCUGCGAGCUGGGCGCCAUCGCUACGUGGUGAAGUCGUGGCGGACACAAGAGAGAGGAAAGGGGUCACUGAAUUCUGGGCUGCAGGCUCAGUACAUCUCUUCACGCCCUCCACCCCCCUUUACCUUCUCCCCCAUCAUCUUUAGAAGCCUAGUUUGCUAAUAUUCAAAGAGAAGUAAUGCUUCAGAGCUCUGCCACCAACUUGACUCGAGUUCUGAGGGUUAAAAUGAUAUAAUACAGUCAAAAUGAACAUUCUGUACAAAUCUAAGUUGAUCCUAAAGGAAGCAAUUAAUUGUCACUGUUCUGUUUCCCUUAUCUUUAUGUGGAAUCAUAUUUUGUCCUCGCUGUCUAAUGUUUUUACAUUUCCAGCAAAAUAGUUGAUUCUAACGCUCUUUUAAAAAUUAUAGUGUCGGGGUAGUCAGCAAUUCCUGUUUCUUCUCUGAGCAUGUGUACCUGCAAAUCUCCUCCUGCUGCAGCGACUAACGUGCUUUUUGAAUCCAAGCCUGCAGAGAUGCCAUUUGCUAUAAUUUUCCAGGUUGUGCUGUUUCCUCAGGGAAAACUCAGAGAGCCUGCGACAUGUAUGUAUGUUGAGACAGGACGGGAACUUAGAGCAGCAGAAGGAAUGUGGCAUAAGGUGGCUCCAUUCCAAGCCCCUAGUAUGCCCCCUCAAUCACGCCAAAAUCCUGUUCUAGAAGAUCUGACCCGCUCAAAUCUGGUUCCCAACAAAAACAACUGACAAAAGUAGGUGGGAGUGGGAACUGUGGAAGGAUCAGCCCCCCACGAAUGAGCUUGCUGAUCUUACAAAUGCCUUCCUUUCGAAUAGAGUGGAACUUAGAAAAACAGAGGCUCUCUUGCAGGAAGAAAACAAAAAGAGAAAAUGAACUCCUUAUCAAAGAUAAAGGAAAUCUUUUUCACUCUGCUUUGUACUUUGAUCUAAACCUACUGGAAGUCAGACCCAAAAGAGCUACAACCCCAAAUUGGUAAGAAUAUCAUGCUGUCAGCUCCAUGGGGUUUGAAAAAAGCUGAGAAGUGAUUCCAUUCCUCAGGGUCCUCCAGGACAUUCUCCAGUGAUCUUCACGGUGAUACCAGCUGCUUCUCUACCUCUGGUUAUUUACUAGAGGGUGUUCUGCAUGGAGAAGAAGGACCCCUUUCUACUUUAUUCCAAUGUAGUGGUCAUUUUUAUAGCCCUUUAUCUCCGUGGUCCCCAAAGUAUUUUACAGAGGAAUCUAAAUCUAUUAUUAUGGGGAAAAUACAGACUUUUGAGGAACUGAAAUGAGAAAACCCUUUGGCUAGAAUAACUUUUCCUUUAUUUCAUACAGGCUCUCAGUAACAUAGAACCUAACUAUGCAGUAAAUAGAUUCAAAGUCAUAGAGAAAAUGACCCAAAGAUUAUUUUUUUGUUUUUACUCUUUUGUUACGUUCUUUGAAUCAAUUUAGAAAGUUAACGAUUUUCAAAGUGGGGUAGUCUUUUACUUACACAUUUACAAAUCAACAUUGACACAUGUCCUUAAAUAAAAUUAAAAACCAACUACUAAUCAUUUAAAUCAUGGUGCAAAAAAGAGCUUGUUAUAACCAGCAGACCAAAGGACCAUUUAUAGAGUAAAAGGUAGAUGAAUUAGACCGAAGGGGAAGUAUGGAGGAUUAACCUAAGUUACUGAUUGUUCCUUUUCUCAAAAUUCUUUUUGGCAAAGAUUAAAUUAUACCAGGGCUUCCCUGGUGGUGCAGUGGUUGAGAGUCCGCCUGCAAAAAAAAAAAAAAAAAAAAAAAAAAAGUUAAAUUAUACCAAAUAUCAAUCAGUUUUUUUUGUUUGUUUUUUGUUUUUUGUUUUUAUGGCGGUACGCGGGCCUCUCACUGUUGUGGCCUCUCCCGUUGCGGAGCACAGGCUCCGGACGCGCAGGCUCAGCGGCCAUGGCUCAUGGGCCCAGCCGCUCCGCGGCAUGUGGGAUCUUCCCGGACUGGGGCACGAACCCGUGUCCCUGCAUCGGCAGGUGGGCUCUCAACCACUGCGCCACCAGGGAAGCCCAUCAAUCAGUUUUUUGAUGUUGAGAGGACUGAGGUCCUCGAAGUUGAGAGACCUCACCAUGGUUACAAGGGUAAAUUCCAGAUCCAGACACGAUCUUCUUGCCCUUGAGUCACAUGGUUUUUUAACUACUCUAUGAGCUGCAUUAUAUAAAUUAAUAUGGAACUUUUACAAUUUGAAAAUAUCAGAAUUAACUGUUGACUGAAAUCAGUUGAAUAUUUCUACAUUUGUUUAGACUAAUCCAGUCUGGUUCACAUUCAGUCACAGUCAAGAAACACAGCUUGUGUUAGAUCGAAGAUUGUGGAAAUAUCCUUAAGCAACACACGUCUCCUGCAAAAGGAUUUCAGGAGGUCGUACAGGGAGACAAAGCAUACUAACAUACACAAAGCAUUCAUGCCUUCCUUGGAAAGCAGAGGUUGCAUAAGCAUGUUAUGGAGACAGAUUAGCAAAUCUGAGGCUGAGGGUGGAAGGCUGAAACUUUGGUUUGGAAGAGUCUGGUCCUUUUCCGCCAUUGAGAGCUCCUUUCACACCUAACUCCUUGAGCAGGAAGUGGGGAAAGAUUGAUCCAGAGGCUGACCUUCUCAUAAACCCAGAGCAUGAAAUUUGGGGCUAGAUGAGAAAGUCUGUGAUUUUUGACCUGCCUUGUGUACGUACUAUCAAAAUAAGUGAGGUUCGUGUGGUUUGUAACUAGUCUAGGGGUAUUUGUGCAUAUGCCACCUACAUUUUCAAAUUACAUAAUUGGACACUUUAUUUAGAAGUCACAUUUCUUUAAACAUGCCAUUUUCUGCUUCAGGCUAAGUUGGAAUUGUUUAAGUUCCUUUUGAGCUUUCAAGAGAAAUAGUAGAGACAGAUUUGCUAUGAACCAAAUAAAUACACUAGGUUCCAUUCUUGUUUUUUGGCAGCUUUGCUUCUGCCAGUGAAUAUUAGCUGCUGUAAUGUUAGCUAUUGUGUGCCCAAUUGUAUAUACAAUUAUAUUACAUGCAUUUCAGUAUUUAUAAAUGCAAAUGCUUUAGAGUGAACAACUACCGUAGGCUUCAGUGGGGCAGCCGGACAAGGGGUCAGGUCUGUAGGUGAGGUUGUUCAGCCAAGUCUAUCGAAGGUGAUCCAUAAUGAGUCUCCAGCUGGGGGCUUACUUGUUGUUUAGAAUAGUUUGGUAAAUGGAAGAUUCUUGUCUUUUCAAAAGCAUCUGGGGUACUUGAGGCAAUGAUAAUGUUUGUUACCUAGUUUAUUUAGAUUACAUUAUCCAGGUCGGCCUUGAUUUUUAAAUCAUAUGCUCUAUUCAGUAUUUAAAGUUUCCUCAGAGCAAAGCUAAAAGGAAAAAGAAAAGUGCUUGUUGUCUAUGAUUCAAUACUUACGCACCCUCUCUCACAGGAUUAGUGUGAAAAGCAAAUAAAUUUGAAAACUGCAAGGGACGGUGCAAACUGUGAAGAAUUAUUCACAUCUGUUGAUAUAGAUACAUAUUUGAAUUACAUCUCAGCACUGAAGUAAGUAAAGAUAAAAAGUUCAGAUGACCACUUCGACCCACUCCUAUAAAAACAUAUGACACUUACUGGGUUUUCCUUUAACAGCUUUACUGAAGUAUAAUUUACAUACCGUAGAACCCACUCACUGUAAGUAUACAGCUUACUGAAUUUUAGUCAAUGGAUGCAGUUGUGCAGCCAUCACUAGAACCCAGUUUUAGAACAUUUCCAUGACCCCAAAACGUUCCCUCCUGCCCAUUAGCAGUUAAUCCCUUUUCUAACUCCCAGCCCCAAGAAAUCAUUGGUGUGUUUACUGUCUCUGUAAAUUUGCCUUUUCUGGAUAUUUUAUAUAAAUGGAGUCAUACAAAUAUAGUCUUUUCCAACUGGCUUCUUUCAUUUAGCAUAUGUUUUUGAGAUUCAUCCAUGUUGUAAUAUGUAUCAGUACUUGGCUCCUUUUAAUUGCUGAGUAGAAUUCCAUUGUAUGGGUAUACCACAUUUUAUUUAUCCAUUCAUCAGCUAACAGACAUUUGGGUUGUUUCAAGUUUGGGGCUAUUAUGGAAAAUAACACUAUGAACAUUCACAUAUAUACCUUUGGACAUAUGUUUUCAUUUCUCCUGAGUGGAUUUAUACGAGUGAAUUGUUGUAUUUCCUGGUAAGUUUGUACUUAACUUGUUAGGAAAAUGCCAAUCUGUUAUCCAAAGUGUCUAUAUCAUUUUAUUUUUCCAUCAGCAAUGUAUGGGGGUUUCAGGUUCUCCACAUCCUUGUCAGCACUUUAUAUUGUCUUCUUUUUUAUUAUAAUCAUCCUAGUGGGUGUGUAGUGAUAUCUCAUUGCAGUUUGGAUUUGCAUUUCCCUAAUUACUAAUGAUGUUGAUCAUCUUUCUGUGUGCUUAUUAGACAUUAGUACAUCUUCCUUGUUGAAAUGUCUAUUCAAAUCUUUUGCCCAUUUUUAAAAACUAGGUUGAUUGGCUUACUAUUGAGUUGGAUACCACUUGUUUUGUUACCAUUAAUUACCACUUCAUCUUACACUCACUUGUGGCUCUUGUAUUCUGCUAUCUUCCACUGUUACUAAACUUCUUUACUGCUAUUUAACUUUUUGUGUGAAUGCAUUUUUUUCUCCAAACUUGUUUAUUUUUCAAAUUUUUUUUUUUUUUUUUUUUGCGGUACGCGGGCCUCUCACUGCGUGGCCUCUCCCGUUGCAGAGCACAGGCUCCGGACGCGCAGGCUCAGCGGCCAUGGCUCACGGGCCCAGCCGCUCCGCGGCAUGUGGGAUCCUCCCGGACCGGGGCACGAACCCGUGUCCCCCGCAUCGGCAGGCGGACUCUCAACCACUGUGCCACCAGGGAAGCCCUUUCAAUUUUUAAAUUGAGGUGUAAUUGACAUGUAACAUCAUUUUAGUUUCAGAUGUACAACAUAAUGAUUCGAUAUUUGUAUCUAUUGCAAAACGGUCACCACAGUAAGUCUAGUUAACACCUGUUGCCAUACAUAGUUAGAAAAAUCUUUUUUCUUGUGAUGAGAACUUUUAAGAUUUACUCUUUUAGCAACUUUCAAAUAUGCACUACAGUAUUAUUAACUAUAGCCACCAUACUGUACAUUACAUCCCCAGGACUUACUUAUAAGUGAAAGUUUGUAGUUUUUGACCUCCUUCAUUUUACCACUUCCCACCCCCAGCCUCUGGCCACCACCAACCUGUUGUUCAUAUGAAUGAGCUUUUUUUUUUUUUAGAUUCCACAUAUAAGUGAGAUCACAUGGUUUUUGUCUUUCUCUGACUUAUUUCACUUAGCAUAAUGCCCUCAAGGUCCAUCCGUGUUGUCACAAAUGGCAAGAUUUCCUUUAUAUGGCUGAGUAAUAUUCUUUGGUAUGUAUACAUACACACUUUAUCUAUUCAUCCAUCAAUGGACAGUUUCUCCAAACUUGAUUUUUAAACUCUCUCAAGAAGAUGAGCACUUUCACCUUCUGUACUUUUUUUCCCCACAAACCAGGCCUAGCAAAAUACUCUGAAAAUAAUAUAUCCUUAAUAAGUAUUUCUAAUAUAUAUGAUAAAAAGCUCAUCAUCUUUGUAGAAAUAGCAUCAGCAUACCUGGUAUCAUAAUUUACUAGUAAGUCGAAUUGAAUUUUAUUUCUUUAUUACUUGUUUUGCACAUCAGAGGUUUCAGUUUUAAAACCAUUUUUGAAAGGAAGGAGUGCUUCAGAGUAUAAACUUAGACAAACAAAUUUAAUUAUCAGAGAAAAAUUAAAAGGGAUUCUGAGGAAACAUUAAAAUUUUACGGUAAUUAAUAUGUUUAAAUAAAAUAAACCCAAAAUUUUAGGUAUUUUUUUCUGCAAAUGUCCCUAAGUACCUUAACAAAAGUAGCAAAAACAUAAUUAAUCACAAAUAGUCAAUGCUCUCAAGUGUACCCACAAGUAAGUAGAAAGCCACCAAAUACCUCAACUAUUGCCAGUACUGUGGACCCAAAAUAAAAGAUUUCAAGUUAUAAAUAUAAAUUUACUUAUGUGUAAGCCUGAAUGUAAAACAAAAACAACUUCCCCUAUAACUGGUAAAUAACAGGGGAAAAAAAAAAACUUUUGAGCCUUGCCUGGAAGGAUGCCAAAGAUAUACACUUGAGAAUAUUUUAAGGUAAUUAGCAUUUUUGUCUCUGUGUCAGUAAAAAUAGGCUUUUGCCUGCUACUAAUUUUCUUUGGGUUAGUGAGACCAUUGUAUGAAUGAAGGGCUGUUAAAGGCCAUUUAUAUUGUGCAAACAGAGGCACAAAUUAGAGAGGGCAUGUUAUUAAGGAAAGGGGGCUUAUGAGUGCUCAAUUAUGAGCCCAGAACCUGUUUCUAUUUUAGGGGGAUAGAAAACACAUCAAUCUUGCUUUUAGAAUAUUUUCAAUUAAAAUGAACAGCACAUGGCACACUAAGAAGCAGAAAAGGCUGCGGCCAUGUGGAUUUUGAAUAAUUCUUACGUACCAUCUUAGUAUCAAAACUGAAUACAUAUAAUGGGCUGAAAUAUAAUUUGAGAUCCCAGAAGACGGAAGUCCUUGAGCUGCAUAAGAAAUUCUAAAGGAAAAGAAGUAUAAAACUGGACCAUCUGUUUCACUUUUUAGCAUGCAACCUUUAGAGUAGAAUAUUUGGAGGAGGAUGCUGUUUAAAACCUGAAUAGGGAUGAAAUAUCGUGCGUACACUCGCAACAUAUCAUUAACCUCUCUCCUAAGUAUAAUCAAUAGCGUCUGCAAGCCUAGUUCUGCACGUUAAAAGCAAAGUACAGUGUUAGCUGCACAGAGGUUCACUUCUCCCCACACCAAGACUAUAGUGAGUAGGUUACUCUCCGGCCCUACUCAGCGCCUCCUGCCUAAUUGGGGUGUGCAGAGGGAGACAUCCACUCUGCACAGUCAAGUGUUUGGGGAAUCUAAUUACAGUUUGCGUAUGCAACUAUAUGCAUAAGGGGCGUAUCAGUUUUACCCCUGUUUUAGCCACUACUUCUGAUUGCCUAAUAACAUGUUUCUUUAUAUGUAUUUAUGAAAACAUUUCAAGAUGCCCCCAAAGCUACCUUUUCCCCUAUAUAGAAUACCUAUUUUGGAAUUACAGUUAACAGGUCACCAGGGUUCACAUAGUGGUCAUGGAGUGGAAAACACUAAAUAACACAGCAAAGGGUGACAAGAAUGAACGCCUUUGGUCUCAAAGUAGAGAAACCAUUACCCCCCAAGUCUAUUCAGUAAGUCCAAUGCUGAACCUCUGCAAACCAUGAUUUUAUUGGACUUUUGGCCUUUC